CUGGGAAUUUGCUGGGAGAGCCUGGGAGUUGUCGCAGUGAUGGCUAAAUCCAGCCUGGGACAGGAUUCCGACAGCACUGCCGCGGUGGCGGUGCUAAAGCGGGCAGUGGAGCUGGAUGCAGAGUCCCGGUACCAGCAGGCUCUGGUGUGUUACCAGGAGGGGAUUGAUAUGCUCUUGCAGGUUCUGAAAGGCACCAAAGAGUCCAGUAAAAGAAGUACUCUCAGAACGAAAAUCUCUGGCUACAUGGAUAGAGCAGAAAAUAUAAAGAAAUACUUAGAUCAAGAAAAAGAAGCUUGUGUCUUAUAGAUGGAAAAUAUCACAAGCAAAUUAAAAUAGAAGAGAAUGCCACUGGUUUCAGUUACGAGUCACUUUUCAGAGAAUACCUACAGGAGACA
rnacentral:lncRNA from 1 species